AACAUUCUUUAAUUUUUCGCAUUGUCAAGUAUGAUAAAAGUUUUAGCUUGGUAAUGUUCCAAAAAGCUUUUUAGACUGAGUUCUAUUUUAUUAAAUUCUCGCUUCUUGAUAUUCAUAAAUUAGGAGCAAAGCUUUUUAGAAUCUAUUGCCUCGUGAAAAGCAGGGAGCUAAAUAUAUUAUUAUCAUUGAAGCACUAAAGGAAAUUUUCUUUUUUUUCAGGCCACCAAUUCCAAAAGAAAUGUAAGGGGGCUUGGUUGGGACUCACAAACCCUAAUUCCAAGCCUAGCACAAAGGACAAAAGGAAAACAAAGCAAAUUGGAUUCUGCACAUAACAUUUGAGAGAAAUGAGGGAAAAGAAACCCAAGUGUAAAAUAAAAUAUGCGAUGUCCCAGGUUGAUAAUCACAGAAGUCAUCAUUUUAGAAUAAUAAUCCCCAUCAUCAUCAUCAAUCACCACUCAUCACAGCCACCCAUACAGCAUGCUCUCUCCCUGAUUUCCCUCCCUCUUUUGAUUUACCAUUCUCUUUUCGCAAUAAAAAUGCUAUUACUAUUCUGAAACAAAAUCAUUCCACCUUUUGCGUGAAAACUGCACAAUAAACAUACACAUUAUCCAACAUCAAUGCCCAUUUUCCACUGUCAACAAACAAUUCUACACUCUCCCCAUCAAAAGCCACACAACCCUGACACUCUUUUGAAUCUCUCUCUCUCUCUCUCUCUCUCUCUCUCCCAACUGUCACAUUUCUCAGAGACCCCAUUUUCAUCUUUCAAUUACAGACUGGGGACCGAACAAGCCAUUGAUAAAAAGCCUCCCAAUUCUCUCUCUCUCUCUCUCUCUCUUCCUUCAAAACAUAGCACCGAGCUUCCAUGGAAGCCCCCUCUAUGCUUGUAUUGUUCUUGUUCUCUCUUCUAAGCUUGCCCUUCCAAAUUUCUGACUCUGCAACAGUGCUAGUUGAUGGAGUUUCAGAGUGGGGGAAUCCCAUUGUUCAUAUUGGUGACUCCAUCAUCUUCAAGCACAAGUAUGAUUACAAGCUUUACAUUUUCCAGAACAAGGAAGCCUUCAAUCUCUGCAACUUCACUCAAGCUACUCUUCUCACCAAGCCUAACUCCACCUCCUUCACUUGGCAUCCGUCGAGGCCUGGUUUCUUCUACUUCUCCUUCAACAAUGGCUCUCUCAAAGAGUGCCACGAUGGCCAUAAGCUCGCCAUAGAGGUGACUUCGGCGCCCCCGGAAAGCCCUGCCACCUCGCCGGACCCCGCUCAGGGGCCGAGCUCCGGCGGCGUUGUUUCAUCUUCUCCAGCCUACCCUUGGCCGUUUCAGCCUCACGGUUCGGAGUCGCCUAGCCCGUCGCCCAGCGCCGUCCUGCCAGCGGCCAGCCCCUCGCUGCCGGAUAAAGGUGGCGGCAUACCGUUCAUCAAUAGUAAUCCGGCGGUGCCUCUGCCCACCGGAGAAGUGGACUCUGCUACUAUACGCCCUUUGCCCACCUCCGGCCAUGGACGACAGGUGGUGGGGUUUUCUGCUCUUCAAAUGGCUCUCUUCUUUCCGGUUUUACUUUCACUGAUGAUGCAAUGAAAAGUAGGGGAGAGAGGGAGAGAGAGAGAGAGAGAGAGAGAGAUGAUGUAUAAAAUGUUAGGCCAGAUCGAGAAGAGGUAGGGGCUAUUGGGCUGGAGAUGCUGGGCAACUUGAAUUCUAGGGCACAGCUUUAAGGGGUUCUUCAACAGGCUGUGGAUCCAUAUACCACAAGAAAUCAGCUUCUCUGUAGCCAACCAUGGGUUUCCCCUUGGAUUCUGCAUUGCAAUCAUCAGCAACACCUAAGAGAAAAGGCCACUGCAGUAGAUCGAUUUGAACUAAUUCCUCCUUUUGCUAGGUGGGUUCUUAGUUCUGAUCAAGUGGAUCACAAACACUAUGACAGAAACUAGAAUCGCCGAUCCUGCGACGAUCGGGACACGGAACUUCUUGGAGAUUCUCUCCCGUGGCUGGCUCGCCUGAUCACCAUUUCUCCUCUCUUUCUGAGUUUCAUCUUUCCCCUGAAGCUGUUGCCGUUCUUGCUCAUGCCUUGAAGCAUCAAUUUGAUCAGCAAUAUCGUGAUCUUCAACAACUUGAGCCUUUUCAACUAAUGGUGGAGAGCUUGGCAUUUCCUUCUCUUGACCACAUUCUCUCUCUUCCAGCUCUGCUUCACUUUCUUCCUCUACCUCCUCGUCCUUCGAAUCAUGAACCUUUUCCCCUGCAACUUCUUCCACAUUAUUCUCAGCAGCCUCGUUUUCGAUCACUUCUUCCUCAACCCCCUCACCGCGUAUUCCUUUAACAAGCUUAGGCAUUGAAACUGUCAGUGUCGACUCCUCCUCAUCGAACCUCGCCUUGAUAUCAUCCAAAAUCACCCCAUCAGGGAUCUUGAAACCCUUCUUAAAUCCCCUCAUCUCCAUCUCUUUCUUGUACAUCAUCCAGCCCACCAUCACCAUCUCCUGCACCGGCUUUUCGCCGCUUAUUACAAUCCUACUCCCAUCCUCAUUUAUCUCAAUCUUUAUCCAUUCUCUUCUGUAGCCUGCAUUCGUUCAAACUUGAAACAGUUACUGCCAAGAACAAAAAAAAAAAAAAACAGAACAAAAAAGACCCACAUUCAAACACAAGAACAGAAGAGGAUUCAAAUGGUAAACUUGUUUUAGACCUUUGAGAUAGGCAGUGAGGAUGAACAUGGCAUCGGAUUCUCGGGAAACAAACAGAGGGCCGGACCGGUCUUUGGCGAUCCGCAGGUCGGCUGAGGAGAAAUCAUCGCUGGUUCUGAUGAUCUUGAGCCCCAAUUCAAGUUCCAUCUAUCUUUUUUCUUCUUGAUUUUUCCCGGAAUUUGGUUUGAAUGAUUUGAAGAAUGUGGGGAUAAUUGGAGUUUGGAGCUUCAAGGAAGGAAGAUUUUAGUUAUUUAUCUUUGUGUGAGAGCAAAGCAUAUGUUCUUUGCUUCCUCCCAUGAUGUUUUUGGCGGGAAGCUACGGCCUUCUUAACAAUUCUUAUUAUAGAAAAUAUAAAAUGAAUAUGGCAUUUAUAUUUUCUUAGCAUAAAAUUGUUUUCAUAAAUAAUAUUAGAAAUAAUCACAAAAACAUGCCCGAAGUUUGCUAUAAUAUGUAUUUUUCAUUAACUUUACAAUUUCAUACUUAAAUUAUUUUUAACCUCAUUAAAACAUACUUAAGGUCUAAAUUUUCAUAACAAAAAAAUUUAAAGAAAAUAGUUAAUACAUUUUCAAAGACAGAUAAAAGUGCUUAUAAAACUACAAGUCAAAAAAAAAAAAAAAAAAAAGAGUUUCAUUCGAGUGGUUUUAAGUAUAUAAAA